rnacentral:rRNA from 1 species
CUGGGGCGAAGUCAUAACAAGGUAGCCCUACGGGAACGUGGGGCUGGAUCACCUCCUUUCUUUGGAGCA